rnacentral:rRNA from 1 species
UACGUAGGGUGCAAGCGUUGUCCGGAAUUAUUGGGCGUAAAGAGCUCGUAGGCGGUCUGUCGCGUCGGCUGUGAAAACCCGGGGCUCAACCCCGGGCCUGCAGUCGAUACGGGCAGACUAGAGUGCGGUAGGGGAGACUGGAAUUCCUGGUGUAGCGGUGAAAUGCGCAGAUAUCAGGAGGAACACCGGUGGCGAAGGCGGGUCUCUGGGCAGUAACUGACGCUGAGGAGCGAAAGCGUGGGUAGCGAACAGG